rnacentral:rRNA from 1 species
GACGAACGCUGGCGGCGUGCUUAACACAUGCAAGUCGAACGGAAAGGCCCUGCUUGCAGGGUACUCGAGUGGCGAACAGGUGAGUAGCACGUGGGUGAUCUGCCCUGCACUUCGGGAUAAGCCUGGGAAACUGGGUCUAAUACCGGAUAGGAGCCAUUUUUAGUGUGAUGGUUGGAAAGUUUUUUCGGUGUAGGAUGAGCUCGCGGCCUAUCAGCUUGUUGGUGGGGUAAUGGCCUACCAAGGCGGCGACGGGUAGCCGGCCUGAGAGGGUGGACGGCCACAUUGGGACUGAGAUACGGCCCAGACUCCUACGGGAGGCAGCAGUGGGGAAUAUUGCACAAUGGGCGCAAGCCUGAUGCAGCGACGCCGCGUGGGGGAUGACGGCCUUCGGGUUGUAAACUCCUUUCGCUAGGGACGAAGCUUUUUGUGACGGUACCUAGAUAAGAAGCACCGGCUAACUACGUG